rnacentral:lncRNA from 1 species
CACAUCCAGAUAUGGCACUUCUGCCAUCCACAAAUGAAACACUGAGAUUACAACAGACUCAAGGGUCCUUGGUGAAAAUCUUGGCACUGAGCACUGAAUUCUCCGCAUUGGCUGGCUCCCAUUCUACUGCCAGAGCACGAAGUGGGAGGCACCCAGAUUUCCUCUCAGGGACAUACAAGGAACAGCCAACUGAGAACAGCUGGGAAAGGAGGAGCUAUCAGUGUGAGGAAACAGAGGACUGUUUCAGUCAUGUUAAAAGGAGCAGAAAAAGAAGCACAGAGAAGCUCAGUACUGAAGACCCUCUUAG